UACGUAGGGAGCAAGCGUUGUCCGGAAUCAUUGGGCGUAAAGCGCGCGUAGGCGGCCCCGUAAGUCCGCUGUGAAAGUCAAAGGCUCAACCUUUGAAAGCCGGUGGAUACUGUGGGGCUAGAGUCCGAAGAGGCGAGUGGAAUUCCUGGUGUAGGCGGUGGAAUGCGCAGAGUAUCAAGGAGGAACACCAAUAGCGAAGGCAGCUCGC
rnacentral:rRNA from 1 species